AUAGUAUUUUUACUUAUAAAAUGGUCAAAUAAUUUUCAAUUUAACAAAUGCAAAAGAAGAAAAAUAUGGCUCAAAUUGUUAAGUUUGUUUAUGCUUUGAUGAUGUUUCUUUCUUUCUUUAUUAAUGUAACCAAUGGCGGACUUUUCUCUUGUGGAAGUGCGACUGAUUGUCCAAAGGACUUGUGUAUUCGUCCUCUAAAAGCAACAUGCAUUGAUUUUGUUUGUGAGUGUGAUAGGAUUAUAAAAAAAAUAAAAAAAAAUUAAAUGUUGCUUAUAAACAUAUAAUUUUAUUUAAUAAUGUUGGCAUUUUUAUAACGUCCCUCAAAUUUCAUUUCCAUUUAUCUUCUAUAAUAUUUCAAUAACUUUGACAAGCGCAAAAUCAUUUGAUUAUGUUGUAAAAGUGUUGUAACAUUUGUUCCCUCAUAGAAUAUAUUGACACAACAUCUUGAUUCUAGAAUAAUAUAUAAAUAUUUGAAUUUGAGUAUUAGA